rnacentral:lncRNA from 1 species
UUAGCAAUAUUUUGUAGAAGAAGGAGGUUAUAUACAGAAAGUAAUGAAUCUUAACCAAGAAAAAAGAUAAAGUAAGGAACACAAAUGUAAUUUCAGUCAUUUUGAAUAAAAUUGUUGCCUAAGCGUGUAAAGAACACAAUCAUAUGCCAGUAAACAGUUCGAAAUAAGGCCUGCUGUUUAAGCCUGCCAGUUACACAAACAUAAUAUGACAGUUAUGAAUAUUGCCUGCUGCCUAAGCCAGUCAGGUACGCAAACAUAAUAUCAAUUAGUUCUGAAUUAAGCCUGCUGCCUAAGCCAGUCAGGUGCACAAACAUAAUCUAAGACAGUUAUGAAUAUUCCUGCUGUCUAAACCAGACAGGUACAUAAAAAUAAUAUCAGUCAGCUCUGAAUAAAUCCUGCUCUUAAGCAUGUCAGGUACACAAACAUAAAAUCAAUCAGUUAUGAAAAAUGCCUGCUGCCUAAGUCAGUCAGGUAGUGAGGUACACAGCAUAAUAUCAGUUAGUUAUGAACAUUUCCUGCUGCCUAAGCCAGUCAGGUACACAAACAUCGUUUCUGGCAGUU